CCUACGGGCGGCAGCAGUGAGGAAUAUUGGUCAAUGGACGAGAGUCUGAACCAGCCAAGUAGCGUGAAGGAUGACUGCCCUAUGGGUUGUAAACUUCUUUUAUAUGGGAAUAAAAUGUUCCACGUGUGGGAUUUUGUAUGUACCAUAUGAAUAAGGAUCGGCUAACUCCGUGCCAGCAGCCGCGGUAAUACGGAGGAUCCGAGCGUUAUCCGGAUUUAUUGGGUUUGAAGGGAGCGUAGGUGGAUUGUUAAGUCAGUUGUGAAAGUUUGCGGCUCAACCGUAAAAUUGCAGUUGAAACUGGCAGUCUUGAGUACAGUAGAGGUGGGCGGAAUUCGUGGUGUAGCGGUGAAAUGCUUAGAUAUCACGAAGAACUCCGAUUGCGAAGGCAGUUCACUGGACUGCAACUGACACUGAGGCUCGAAAGUGUGGGUAUCAAACAGGAUUAGAUACCCUUGUAGUC
rnacentral:rRNA from 1 species